rnacentral:misc_RNA from 1 species
UAUCUACUAGCCACCAUAGAGAUAAACUCCUAGGGUACAGAGAAAAAGUGUUUCAUCCAAGAAGUGAAGUUGAGGGUGCCUCAAGAAAAUCCAAGCUGGGAAGAAACACAGCAACUAAGCCUGUCUCGAAACCAAAGCAAGGGCUUCAGUCCAUCAACAACAAUAUUAAUGCAUUGAAAAGAAAACGCCAUUCUUUGGUAUCAAAGGUACCAAAUGCUGAAGCACCC